CCACUGAAUGUUGAGAACUCAGUGGUUUGUCCUACAGAAGCUUAGAAGAUAAAUAAGGGUGUUGAAACCAGUGCAGGUGGAGGCCUGGCUUUUGAUGUUUCAGACCAUUGGAGAAAAGAAUCUGCCAUGGAUGGUGAUCUGGAGCUGAAGACCUGGCUGUGAUUAACGAGAGACCAGAACCAUUAAAACCAAACUUUUGUUUUGCUGGGACAAUGGAGUCUGAUCAGCUGGGGCUGAAGAAUCAGCUAUGAUAACAAGAGACCAGCACCACUGAAGUGAAAUCUUCUGAGAAGUGUUUCCUCAGAGUCGGCCAGUGCAAGCUGUGCUCAGAGGCGGCCAAGGCAGUACUCCUUGUGCUGGCAGCUGGACUUGGUCAUGUGUGAGAAUCUUCAAGGUGGUACAGGUUUUGAAGGCGUGAAGGGGUCAUGGAGGACCCUUGAGGCUUGUCCUGUUGACGAGUGCCCAAGAGGGCAAGUAAGGAAAGUGCAGCCCAGUUGCAGCAGAAGAUCCAAGAGUUUAGAGAUGCCAGCACCAUGGGAAGGCCACCAAGAACAGCAGUGUGGUGGUGGAGAGGAGCCAGCGGGAGCCCAGAAGACGAGCUGUGUGUGCUUCAGAGGGCAGAGCCAGAGGAGAGACCCAAGCCCUUGAAGGAGUCCCCCAAAUGACACACUGAGAAUGACGAGCCGUGGUCAUCUUGUGGAGCCUCGGAGUUAAGUUACAGCAGCUGCGACAGGAGAAGGCCCGCCUCCGGGUUCCACGUGGAGCAUCAUUUAUAGUCAACAGCUGACACGGAGAAUCUGAUGUCGAAAGUCAAUAUUAAAAAUUACCUUUUGUUGUAGUCUUAAGAUUUGUAGGUUUUGCCUUAGGUGAAUAAUUAGGUUUUCAAAGAUGGAUGCCAAUUGCUAGUCUUUGCAUUUCUGUUACCAAAAUAUUCAUAGCAGAAAGAUCCAUGUUGCCAAUUAUGCUUUUAAUUGGGAUAGAAAUGUGUGUUAAGUUCUUUCAUAGAAAUGCAUGCUAAAUCUGUUUCAGAGAAUCUUCUAAGACAUUUUCUUUUUACCCAAUUCCAAUUCUGGCUUUGGCUCCCAUUCAAGAGAAGCCACUACAAUGAAAUAUUUUCUGACACUCUGUGGAAUAGUUA